rnacentral:rRNA from 1 species
CAGAACCCGAACCCGGGUGUUCGUUAUUAUUUAGGCCUUUCUUUGUGAACCGGGUUGGGGCCUUGUUUGUUUCGGCCGCUCCAGCAGACAGGAAAGGGGAGUCAGAAGAAGGAGGACUCGGAACAACGAUGAUUAGAACGAACGCGUCAAGCUAGGUAGUAGGUACCUCGUCUCGGUCUACCGGUCUCACUUCGAACCGUGCGUCCCGGAGCUCCACAGGUUCUAGCCCAAGCCUACGUACCCGGAGUGGCCGCACAUGUUGCUAGGCCACGGCCUCCUACGACCGCAGCGGCAGUAUGCCGCGCGGAAGCUGCGGCCGCAGUGGAAGAAGCUGUGGCGGCUACGCAUACCCGGUGUGUGGUUGCUCCAGGACGAGCCUUUCCAGUUUUAGGAGGAGAACGAGAGUGAGAGGUUCGAGCUUAUACGACAAAAACACGAAACAAGCGACUCCCCGCCACUUUUACCGGCCACGAGGCGCGGCCAGCUGGGUAGACUCGCGGUCUAGCCAGCGGCGCGCGUGGCAAGUAGCGCAGGAGACCACUGGCAGACUAUAGCCUAAAACAAAAACAAGAAAAGUGAGAUCGAAAACAGGUAAAAAGAAUACGGUGAGAUUUUAAACUGUAAGUAAAAACGGUUUUAAAAAACGAAAACGGCUUUACCGUUAACACUACAUAACAGUUUUCAAAUCUCAUCGUUUUCACUUUACACUUCUCGAUCUCACCGUAUUCUUUACCCGUUUUCAAUCUCACCGUUUUUGUUCUCAAUCUCUAGGAUCUUGCACAAAUCUAGAGUAACAUAAAAACAAAACACAAAUCGUAUCGUAACCUCCCUAGAACUAGAAGUCAACAGACGUGAUUCCGUGAUUCCGUUCACGGAGCACUUUCCCAAGUUCACCGGUGGUUCACACCGUAGCGUCCUAAGCUGCGGCCACCGGACACACACUUCCCGUGAGGUCUUAUACACGCACGCUCGACGCUUCGUUCGGAACACGCGGAGCCACACCUGAUGUAGCUAGAUAUAAAGGUCGUAGCGUAACUGGUCAGUCACGGAUAUCUCCUUUGGUACCCCCUUGACUUCUUCAACCAACUUCUUCCCUUUCAGUUCAUACAACCGAACAGACUCCGAUCACGGCUAUGGUAAUCUGCCCGUGUACGUCAAGUAGGCUAGUGGCGUCACGUCUACCUCACCAGUGAUACCUGGUCCCUAUAUCUCCUUCUAUAAUAGGGUGAUACGUCCCUCGAACCGUAGCCUCAACAAGGUAUGUCGGGUGAACCAGCGCCAAAGAAACGACCGUCCCGUCGGCAUCUCUCGAAUGGUAGUCCCUCAAAUGACAGGUUUGUAGGAGCCAUAUGACCUCUUUUGGACCUCUUCUUAUUUCAAGACAUAUGUGCUGAGCUUUAUAACAGGUGGUUCAUACCGACGUGUGGACGAGUUGAACGAGAACGGACCCAAGAAGUAGUUCCCCUACUACAGCAAGGUUAGGGACCUUGUUGUUUUGACUUCUUGGAGCUACUAUUGUAGCUCCGACAUUUCCAUUUCGACUCGUUCCUUCUGGACUUUCUUUAGAGUCGGCGACAGGGACGGCCGCUCCACCGACCCAGGUCCUAGUAACCUUAGGACCUCGGAAUAAGAACCUCCCAACGUUUGUGAGGUGGAGUUUUCAUCGGUAAAACGUAGAAGUGAGCCUUUAGUUUCUUGUAGAGUGGCGCAAUACGACUUAAACGAAGGUGGAACGACCUAUGCAUGUAAGUUCCCCCCUUUACACUUUCUUAGCUCGAGCAGGUAUGAGUUCUUAUCCCUUUGUAACAAGGACUUUGUUGUCUACGGUAACUAAAAGACAACCUACAUAGUUAACGAUGUGUACUAUUUCUAUUUUCCACAGCUUAAGUUCAAUUUGAGAAAAGACGACGUGUAAAAGAAAACCACAGUAUACACCUCACUUUAAUCCAAACAACCCAUAGCUAGUAAGUAACUUUUAACGAUGACGACAUUACAAAGGUGCGUACUGACUUACUCUAAUGACUGUCUCAGG